UUGAAGUAGGAUUUUGAAAUA
ensembl:piRNA 21ur-5822 ncRNA